UUUUCGAAGAUAGAUUUAAGAGAUACAUUUUUACAAUUCGGAGUUAGUCUAGAAUGAAAGAAUCUUUUAGUAAUUUCGACUCAUGUCGGUUAUUACUGAUGUCUAAGAUUCCCCUUUGGGUUGAGCAGCGCUCUGAUAAUAUUUCAACACCUCAUGCAAAACCUAUUAAAUGGAAUACCUACGGUUAGUGAUUUUUAGACGACGUAAUUACGGAUACUCAUCGUUGUCACUUUAGCGUGUUGGCCGAUAAUUCAAUGCAGGGUAACUAAAGUUCUAUAUAGACACGAAUCCUAUGUUAUUACAAGCUAUCAUCGCGGAUAAAGAUGUUAGUUCGAGCUUAUCUUAUGGGACGCUAUCAAUAUCAUAUAGUUCUCAUAUUCAUCAUAUUCAC